UAUUAAAGGAAUACCGAAUGCUUUUCCGUGCAGGAUUGCGUGAUUCAUGCACGAGGGAUGUCGUGAGCGGAAAGCGUAAAAAUACUCGAGCAACAAUGCAACAUCCCAAGUGCAUGGAUCACGCUAUCCUGCUUGGAAAACCAUUUGGUAAUUGUUUUAUA